AUACGUAGGUGGCGAGCGUUGUCCGGAAUUACUGGGCGUAAAGGAUGCGUAGGUGGAUAUUUAAGUGGGAUGUGAAAUCCCCGGGCUCAACCCGGGAACUGCAUUCCAAACUGGGUAUCUAGAGUGCAGGAGAGGAAAGCGGAAUUCCUAGUGUAGCGGUGAAAUGCGUAGAUAUUAGGAGGAACACUAGUGGCGAAGGCGGCUUGCUGGACUAUAACUGACACUGAGGCAUGAAAGCGUGGGUAGCAAACAGGAUUAGAUACCCUGGUAGUCCACGCCGUAAACGAUGGGUACUAGGUGUAGGAGGUAUCGACCCCUUCUGUGCCGUCGUUAACACAAUAAGUACCCCGCCUGGGGAGUACGGUCGCAAGACUAAAACUCAAAUGAAUUGACGGGG
rnacentral:rRNA from 1 species